CUCAAAUAUGCAUUUAUUUGUGUCAAGUUAUUAACACAGAACCCAUAAACAUGUUAAUCACAAAUUACACAUAUUACUCGCAUGAUAUAUAAUAAAACACAUUCUAGGAUUCUGACUGAUCAAAUGAAAAAUAUAAAGUCAUACAUUCAGUUGAGUAAAUGAUUUUUGGGUGAACUAUCCCUUUAAUGCACACUGACAAGAAGUAAAAGGAGAGGUCAUGUGCGUCAGCAUUGAUUUAAACAAAUGAGGAACAUUUAGAGGCUGGAAAUCUGGGCCAAAGGCCAUUCCUGCAGUGAGUGUCAAUGACAUGUGCUGUAAAGAUAUGUAAAUAUGGAGCCCUGUAGUGUAUAAAUGAGAAUGACAGCCCUACAUUCCAUGUGACUCUUCCUGGUUUUCUUUCUGGCUAUAAUACUGAACAGUUACCAUGAAUCACCUUCAGUCUCUUGAGGCCAUUGUACGGUACUGAGUUACACAUUGUGCCACUUGUCAGUCACACAGGUUACAUGACACCCGCUGUGCAACAGGCAGACUGCGGUACAUUGACCGAGUAAAAGCAAAAAGCCACCGGCAUGCCACUUGCCUAAGGGCAAAGGUCAGGCAGGAUAGCGGGAUGCUGGAACAGUGUUGCGACACGGAUGUUUCGUCAGGUGAAUGAUCUCCGGCUUGCCUGGAACUCAAGGUAAUCUGGUUAAGCAGCUUUAACCACGGGACGGGGGGAAUUUAGACGAGUUGUAAAACCCCUUUGCACCAAGUCUGGAUCUGUUCUCUCUCGCUUGUGUCCAAGCAGUCCAUGUGGAGAUAAAUGUUUCAUCAGUCCACCCAAAUGGAUUUCAUUUCAUGAACAGAUUUAGUGUGAAUGAGUGUGGAACAUGGCGUGUGAAACAUGGAGUACCAAUGAAUCUCAAAUUCCUAUGUUCAUUCCAGUUUAAAUUAAAGUCUGAACAACUUGUUCCAGAUGCAACUACUUACCCUUAGUGAAAAAAAAACAAACCAUAAGAAAAAAAAUAUAGAAUAACUUCAAGGGCCUCAUUUAUAAAACACAUACAGCUGGACUUGAUCCAAAAUUUUCAUGAAUUUUAUCACAUUUAUUUGACAAAACUGAUCUUCUGAAAAUAAUAAUAAUAAUCCUACUAGUGUAUGCCUGCACAUGCACAGAAACCAGACUGUCUUUUUCUUUUUUUUUUUCUUGUGCAUAGAGACGUUCAUAAGAACACUUUGGAAACUAUUGUAUGUUCAAAUUUAAGAACAUUGUAAAUCUUUAUAAAGGAGACAUCGGACUCCUCCUGAAUGGAAAACUGUCCAUUGUACAAAAUGUGUUCAGUUUGAACAUUAUCUAAAGAGUUGAAAGUACAUGGAAGAUCCCUGGCAGGUGAUCUGAGCACCCUUCACCCUGGUGCAAAGUAACUGUGAGGUAUCUGACCUUUGCCAUUUGGGAUUAUUUUGAACUUGUGAAGACCUUUCAAGCUCAAGCUUAAUUAAACAAAAAGGGCUCUGUGACCUGUCUCAUAUUCAAGGUAUGUUCCAGUUCAACACAAGAUGUCUGUAAAUUUUUUUUAAUUUGUAUCUUGAGGAAACAACCAAACAAAAACAAACAGCAUUGACAUAUCUAGUCAGAAGUUAGUUUAUGGGGGAUCGUAGCGUGCAACAGAUGUUGCCAUUUGGCUUGUCCCUUUAAAGAAUGCUUUGACAGGCACGAUUCAAUGAAAAAUAUUUCCCUGAAUAAUAAUAUUUAGAUUUAAGUGUUUUGUUUCACAGUUAGAAGUGAAAUCAAUUAGUACCACUGUAUUAAAUGGUGGGAAAGAGCCUUGAAAGGCCUAGCUGUAAAACGGCUCCAACAUAAGAAGAUUAACCAUUACCUACUACAUUAAAUUGAAUCUCAACCUUGUAAAGCUUUCAAAAAUACAACUCAUGAAAAACUAGGAAGUAGAAAUCAUGUUCACAUUCAUAAAGAAUUUAGAACCACAACAAAAUAUGUCACACGUUUAAGUAAAAAUAAACAAGGCAAGUCUUCCCCAAAGCCAUUUUACUUCUUUAUUUGAGAAUCACAUCAUUCAGUCACACUUUGUCCAUACUGAAAGUAUGUUCAUUAGGACCUUCAUAGUAAUCUAAUCUAAAUGUAGCUGUUAACCCUUACCGUCUGACUUUAAAGAGGGUUAAAGCAGGAGGUUCUGACAGUAGCACACUGUACUAUCCACGGCCUAAGUACACCUGCAACACAGACAGGCCGAGCUUCUUAUGUGUGCCGUUUCUUUAAGAGCAGCUGAGACGACGACCCUCAACAAUCUUUUAAUGCACUUGUGGACAGAUUGACAUUAGACUAGAGCGGAUCACGAAGGCGAUCGUCGCCCAUGACCUGAAGAAGCCCUUGAGAGAAGGUACAGUUACAUGUGCAAAACUGUGUGACGUAUGAGAACUUGGUGAGAGAGUGGCAUGAUCUUGAAGACGUUUGGAGGGAGAGGAACCGAGAGCACAUUUCCAGCACGCGGCAUCUGGGUCUGCUAAAUACCUAGAAUAUUCUCAGUUUUCAUCUGGCUGGGAGGAUUUAGAGGGAUGCAUUUUCAUAUCCUGUUUUCUGUGCUGAAGAAGUCGGCCUUGAGGAAUUUACGGCUUGUGUAAGGUCAGUUGACGUGAUGAGGAUGUGUAUAUAGGCAGAUCUGUGUGUGUGACAAAGGUUAGAUGCGUACAUACACAAGCACAUAAACAAACAAACACACACAAAAAAAAAUAAAAAAAAAUCAUAUUUACGCCAUAGAAUGGCCUUGAAAGGGAAAGAGGAAGUUACAUACGCUCUGCAGUCUUUCAUCAUUUGUUCCCUGGAGGAUCUCUGCAACUUUCAACACACAAACACGUCAAUGCCUGGGCAUGUCUCCAGAAUGCAUGGAAACAUCUAUAAGAACACUACUUUCAGUAGUACUUGAUGUUUCCGCCCACUAAACAUCAGAUCCACCAUUUGCUACAUCAGAAGAGCAAGAUGGCCACCUCUGUCAGCUUGGUUGAGAGCACAGAAUGCCACUCCUGUCCUGCUCCACACCCAAAUAAGGGCAAGGGACCCUCACCGGGCCAGGAAUGUGGCUGAGUCAGCAUGGACCCCGUAUGGUAGCCUUUGUUUAUGCCUGAGAAUAACGAACAGCCAAGCUCAGGCAGGUCACGUGAGCUGGCUGCUGGAGGGAGAGAAAAAAAUGGGAUCCGUCUGAUCCAGGAUUGGCUGAGACGGCCUCAUCGACUGUCUGGAAUGAUGCUGUUACUUCUGCAUCACCAUCUCUGUGCUGACGUGCCAGGAAAGAGCCAACCACAACAGUUCUUCAGCUGGCAGCUUUAGCUGGUACACAAGGACAUAAAGCUUGCCAGUGAAGAACUGCUGCAGGUCAGCCAGUGGGCUUCCCAGAGUCUGUCCCUGAUAUUCCGAAGAAAACGUGGGAAUAGGGCGUGGCAGGAU
ensembl:lncRNA